GCAAACCCCUUUGGUCUAUUCUCCUCUAACUUGUUCAAAUACUUUUCCAGUCCCUUUGCGUCCCAUACUAAUAUGUAAGAAGCCAAUACCUUGAGCGGUACUGUUUUGGGGAAGCGGAAAAUGGAAAAUCUACAAGGAAGAAUCCUCAACAAGCAACCCAAUUGUGAUCGUCGAACAAGAUGAUUCAUGCUCAUGUAGACAAAUUAUAAUACUCAAUAUUUUUUCUUAGUUACUAGGUUUAUAUAUGCUUUCGUAACACAGAAUGUUCUCUCAAACAAUCUUGCAACUAUUUAUAUCAAAAGAUAUGUUUUAGCCGUCA